UCUAGAGAUAGAGCUUCCCCUUCGGGGGCAAAGUGACAGGUGGUGCAUGGUUGUCGUCAGCUCGUGUCGUGAGAUGUUGGGUUAAGUCCCGCAACGAGCGCAACCCUUAUUGUUAGUUGCCAUCAUUCAGUUGGGCACUCUAGCAAGACUGCCGGUGACAAACCGGAGGAAGGUGGGGAUGACGUCAAAUCAUCAUGCCCCUUAUGACCUGGGCUACACACGUGCUACAAUGGGAAGUACAACGAGUUGCGAAGUCGCGAGGCUAAGCUAAUCUCUUAAAGCUUCUCUCAGUUCGGAUUGCAGGCUGCAACUCGCCUGCAUGAAGCCGGAAUCGCUAGUAAUCGCGGAUCAGCACGCCGCGGUGAAUACGUUCCCGGGCCUUGUACACACCGCCCGUCACACCACGAGAGUUUGUAACACCCGAAGUCGGUGAGGUAACCUUUUGGAGCCAGCCGCCUAAGGUGGGAUAGAUGAUUGGGGUGAAGUCGUAACAAGGUAGCCGUAUCGGAAGGUGCGGCUGGAUCACCUCCUUU
rnacentral:rRNA from 1 species